AUAAACUAUGCCUGCCAGCGAUCCGCCGAAGUUCCUCCGAUGACUCGGCGGGCAGCUUCCGGGAAACCAGAGCUUUUGGGUUCCGGGGGAAGUAUGGUUGCAAAGCUGAAACUUAAAGGAAUUGACGGAAGGGCACCACCAGGAGUGGAGCCUGCGGCUUAAUUUGACUCAACACGGGAAAACUCACCAGGCCCGGACACCGGAAGGAUUGACAGAUUGAGAGCUCUUUCUUGAUUCGGUGGGUGGUGGUGCAUGGCCGUUCUUAGUUGGUGGAGCGAUUUGUCUGGUUAAUUCCGAUAACGAACGAGACUCUAGCCUACUAACUAGGCGUACCCGGUAUCCACAAUCGUGCUACCGGCGAUCAUAUUUCUUCUUAGAGGGACAGGCGGCUUCUAGCCGCACGAGACUGAGCAAUAACAGGUCUGUGAUGCCCUUAGAUGUCCUGGGCCGCACGCGCGCUACACUGAAGGAAUCAGCGUGUCUUCCCUGUCCGAAAGGACCGGGUAACCCGCUGAACCUCCUUUGUGCUAGGGAUUGGGGCUUGCAAUUGUUCCCCAUGAACGAGGAAUUCCCAGUAAGCGCGAGUCAUAAGCUCGCGUUGAUUACGUCCCUGCCCUUUGUACACACCGCCCGUCGCUACUACCGAUUGAAUGAUUUAGUGAGGUCUUCGGACUGGUGCGCGGAGGCCGCUUACGUGGUCUCCGAUGUUGCCGGAAAGAUGACCAAACUUGAUCAUUUAGAGGAAGUAAAAGUCGUAACAAGGUUU
rnacentral:rRNA from 4 species